UACGUAGGGUGCGAGCGUUGUCCGGAAUUACUGGGCGUAAAGAGCUCGUAGGUGGUUUGUCACGUCGUCUGUGAAAUUCCGGGGCUUAACCUCGGGCGUGCAGGCGAUACGGGCAAUACUUGAGUGCUGUAGGGGAGACUGGAAUUCCUGGUGUAGCGGUGAAAUGCGCAGAUAUCAGGAGGAACACCAAUGGCGAAGGCAGGUCUCUGGGCAGUUACUGACGCUGAGGAGCGAUAGCAUGGGUAGCGAACAGGAUUA
rnacentral:rRNA from 1 species